GAUAGGAUUAUAUCCAAUAGGUUGGUGUUGGAGAAAGAAGUUGUCAAUAUAAUCAGCGCUUAUGCACCUCAAGUAGGAUUGGAAGAAAGUAAUAAGAUACAAUUUUGGGACCACAUAGAUGGAUUAGUGUAAAGUUUUAGACUUUUAGUCAAGGAAAAAAG